rnacentral:sRNA from 1 species
CUCAUUAUGUGUAAAUAACACACACGGAUCGGCACAUACACCGGGGUGCUCUUAUGCGGUUAACUCAUUUAAUGUGAAUCAUCCCGCAGCCAAGGAGUCGGUGUCAUGGGAUCUGUGGAGGCAUAAC